rnacentral:rRNA from 1 species
ACGUUGAAGACGACGACGUUGAUAGGUCGGGUGUGUAAGCGCAGCGAUGCGUUGAGCUAACCGAUACUAAUGAACCGUGAGGCUUAACCUUACAACGCCGAAGGUGUUU